rnacentral:lncRNA from 1 species
UAUGCUAGAACCCUACAGUGGUAUCAGAGCCAUCCUUAAUUGGUUCAAUCAAAUAAUUAUGUAUGAUGUAUGAUUAUUAAUUUACUAUGAGAUAGUAAUGUCAUAUGCUUAGAGAAAUGCUGAAAUGUACGAUUCAUAUAUGAUAUGUUAUGUAAUAAAAUAUCAUGAUAUGAAAUUUUCCAUAUGAAAAUAUGUUGAAGCAUGUUAAUUAAUUGCUUAUGAUUU